rnacentral:rRNA from 1 species
UACAGAGGGUGCGAGCGUUGUCCGGAAUCACUGGGCGUAAAGGGCGCGUAGGUGGCGACCCAAGUCGAUGGUGAAAGCUCGCCGCUCAACGGCGAGUCGGCCACCGAUACUGGGUUGCUGGAGCACUGUAGAGGCUCAUGGAAUUCCGGGUGUAGCGGUGGAAUGCGUAGAGAUCCGGAAGAACACCAGUGGGCGAAGGCGGCCUGGCUGGGCAGUGGCUGAC